rnacentral:rRNA from 1 species
CCUACGGGUGGCAGCAGUGGGGAAUAUUGCACAAUGGGGGAAACUCUGAUGCAGCGACGCCGCGUGAGUAAAGAAGUCAUUCGUUAUGUAAAGCUCUAUCAGCAGGGAAGAAAAUGACGCUAUCUGCCUUAAAUGCCCCGGCUCACUACGUGUCAGCAGCCCCGGUAAUACGUAGGGGGCAAGCGUUAUCCGGAUUUACUGGGUGUAAAGGGGGCGUAGACGGCAGUGCAAGACUGGAGUGAAAGGUGGGGGCUCAACCCCCGAACUGCUCUUGAAACUGUAGGGCUGGAGUGCAGGAGAGGUAAGUGGAAUUCCUAGUGUAGCGGUGAAAGGCGUAGAUAUUAGGAAGAACACCAGUGGCGAAGGCGGCUGACUGGACGGUAACUGACGGUGAGGCGCGAAAGCGUGGGGAGCAAACAGGAUUAGAUACCCCUGUAGUC